AUGGUGGAGAUGGUGCUGAGCAUGGCGAGGUCCAUGCUGGGGGGAGCCAUCAGCACGGCCGCCUCUGCCACUGCCGCAGAGAUGAGCCUCCUCAUGGGUGUACGCAAGGAUAUCUGGUUCAUCAAGGACGAGCUAGAGACCAUGCAGGCAUUCCUGGCAGCCGCUGAAGCAAUGAAAGAGAAAGACAUGCUACUAAAGGUGUGGGCGAAGCAAGUAAGAGACCUAUCCUACAAUAUCGAAGAUUGCCUUGGUGAAUUCAUGGUGCAUGUGGCGAGUCAAAGCUUGUCGCGGAAGCUGAUGAAGCUCAAAGACCGCCAUCGAAUGGCUGUGCAGAUCCGCGAUCUCAAAUCAAGAGUUGAAGAGGUGAGCAGUAGGAACACACGCUACAAUUUGAUCACAACCAAGGCCUCCAACAACGUUGACGAGGUGAAGUCCAACAUGGAAGAUGUUCGCAAACACUCGGGUAGCAACAUUGAUGAAGCAGAGCUUGUGGGCUUUGAUAAGCCUAAGAAGGAAUUGAUUAAUCUCCUGGAUCUCAACACCGAAGUUGGUCUCGCCAAUGUGAUAUGUGUCGCGGGCAUGGGUGGUUUAGGCAAGACCACUCUUGCACGGAAAACAUAUGAAAGUAAGGAAGAUAUUGUGAAGAAUUUUUCUUAUCGUGCUUGGAUCACAGUAUCACAAUCAUUUUCUAAGAUAGAGAUGCUCAAGGAUAUGAUCCAGCAGUUUUUUGGUCGUAAUUCACUAGACAAAUGCUUGAAUGGUGUUGAAGGGAAGAGAGUGCGAGUAGAAGACCUCUCCAAGCAUCUCACAGAUGAGUUAGAGGAUAAGAGGUACUUUAUUAUUCUUGAUGACUUGUGGAACAUACAAGAUUGGGAAUGGAUCGAAGAUUUUGCCAUUCCUAGUAGUAACCAGAAAGGUAGUCGGGUAAUAGUAACAACACGAGAUGUUGGCUUAGCUAACCAGAUUACUGUUAAAAAUUUCGUCUACCACCUUAAACCCCUAGACUCACUUGAUGCUACAGAAUUGCUACUAAGAAAGAGUAGAAAAAGACCGGAAGACAUGGAGAAAGAUGAGAACUUGAAGAAGACAGUUGAACAACUAGUUAAAAAGUGUGGGUGCUUACCGCUGGCUUUACUCACAGUAGGAGGCAUCCUUGCUACUAAAAAGAUAGCAGAGUGGGCACAAGUAUAUAACCAACUCCCCUCAGAGAUGGAGACCAACCCUAGCCUUGAGGCAAUGAGGAGUAUGGUUACUCUGAGUUAUAACUACUUGCCAUCUUAUCUUAAGUCAUGCUUUCUGUACUUAAGCAUCUUCCCUGAGGAUUAUGAAAUCCAGAUGAGGCGACUAGUAGAAAGAUGGAUUGCUGAGGGGUUUGUUAAAGCCAGGACUGGGGUGAACAUUGAGGACGUGGGAAAAGAUUACUUUAAUGAGUUAAUCAACCGAAGCAUCAUUCAACCUGCGCGGGUGAACAUAGAAGGGGUUGUUAAGAGCUGCCGAGUUCAUGGUUACAAUUCCCAGAAAUGA
rnacentral:rRNA from 1 species